rfam:Asian citrus Psyllid, Diaphorina citri - Florida Strain, whole genome shotgun sequence.
GCACGCGGCGAUAGCACGUUGAAUACAAUAGUUCCCGAUUAAUCAUUGAAGUGAAGCAACGUUACUCGUGGUUGGUAUCCGAAUGGGUGACCAUUUGGGCGAUCGCUUACUCUUGGCU